rnacentral:rRNA from 2 species
GAGUGCAGAAGAGGAGAGUGGAAUUCCACGUGUAGCGGUGAAAUGCGUAGAGAUGUGGAGGAACACCAGUGGCGAAGGCGACUCUCUGGUCUGUAACUGACGCUGAGGCGCGAAAGCGUGGGGAGCGAACAGGAUUAGAUACCCUGGUAGUCCACGCCGUAAACGAUGAGUGCUAAGUGUUAGAGGGUUUCCGCCCUUUAGUGCCGCAGCAAACGCAUUAAGCACUCCGCCUGGGGAGUACGGUCGCAAGACUGAAACUCAAAGGAAUUGACGGGGGCCCGCACAAGCGGUGGCGCAUGUGGUUUAAUUCGAAGCAACGCGAAGCACCUUCCCACGUCUUGACAUCCUCUGACAACCCUAGAGAUAGGGCUUCCCCUUCGGGGUCAGACUCACAGGUGGUGCAUGGUUGUCGUCAGCUCGUGUCGUGAGAUGUUGGGUUAAGUCCCGCAACGAGCGCAACCCUUGAUCUUAGUUGCCAGCAUUCAGUUGGGCACUCUAAGGUGACUGCCGGUGACAAACCGGAGGAAGGUGGGGAUGACGUCAAAUCAUCAUGCCCCUUAUGACCUGGGCUACACACGUGCUACAAUGGGCAGAACAAAGGGCAGCGAAGCCGCGAGGCUAAGCCAAUCCCACAAAUCUGUUCUCAGUUCGGAUCGCAGUCUGCAACUCGACUGCGUGAAGCUGGAAUCGCUAGUAAUCGCGGAUCAGCAUGCCGCGGUGAAUACGUUCCCGGGCCUUGUACACACCGCCCGUCAC